CCUACAUAACUGCGCCUUGUAUUGGAAUCGCUCAAGAACUCUGAAACCUACAUCUUGAAGUGGAGCGGGUAUACAUGCUACCAGGGCUAAUAGGGAAACCUGUUAACCUCCCCCAUUUGGAAAGGUGAACAAUGCUACAAGAC
rnacentral:ncRNA from 2 species